GGUCUUAGCUUGCUAAGGCUGAUGGCGACCGGCGCACGGGUGAGUAACACGUAUCCAACCUGCCGUCUACUCUUGGCCAGCCUUCUGAAAGGAAGAUUAAUCCAGGAUGGCAUCAUGAGUUCACAUGUCCGCAUGAUUAAAGGUAUUUUCCGGUAGACGAUGGGGAUGCGUUCCAUUAGAUAGUAGGCGGGGUAACGGCCCACCUAGUCAACGAUGGAUAGGGGUUCUGAGAGGAAGGUCCCCCACAUUGGAACUGAGACACGGUCCAAACUCCUACGGGAGGCAGCAGUGAGGAAUAUUGGUCAAUGGGCGAUGGCCUGAACCAGCCAAGUAGCGUGAAGGAUGACUGCCCUAUGGGUUGUAAACUUCUUUUAUAAAGGAAUAAAGUCGGGUAUGCACACCCGUUUGCAUGUACUUUAUGAAUAAGGAUCGGCUAACUCCGUGCCAGCAGCCGCGGUAAUACGGAGGAUCCGAGCGUUAUCCGGAUUUAUUGGGUUUAAAGGGAGCGUAGAUGGAUGUUUAAGUCAGUUGUGAAAGUUUGCGGCUCAACCGUAAAAUUGCAGUUGAUACUGGAUGUCUUGAGUGCAGUUGAGGCAGGCGGAAUUCGUGGUGUAGCGGUGAAAUGCUUAGAUAUCACGAAGAACUCCGAU
rnacentral:rRNA from 1 species